CAGGUGUAGCAAUACAUGCUGACGAGCGGCGAACGGGUGAGUAAUGCUUUGGAAUCUUCCCAGUAGUGGGGAAUAACCAGUCGAAAGAUUGGCUAAUACCGCAUACGUCCCUAGUUUGAAAGAAUUGGGGGGAAAGCGGGGGAUCGUAAGACCUCGCGCUAUUGGAUGAGCCAAAGUCGGAUUAGCUAGUUGGUGGGGUAAUGGCCUACCAAGGCGACAAUCCGUAGCUGGUCUGAGAGGACGACCAGCCACACCGGAACUGAGACACGGUCCGGACUCCUACGGGAGGCAGCAGUGGGGAAUAUUGGACAAUGGGGGAAACCCUGAUCCAGCGACGCCGCGUGUGUGAAGAAGGCCUGCGGG
rnacentral:rRNA from 1 species